rnacentral:misc_RNA from 1 species
AUCUUGGGCGUCCUAUUAAUCAAGUGAGUGUUGUAUUGUGAACUCUACUUAUUCUUGAGGAUGAUUCUUUGAAGCAAUAUUUCCAUACGAAAUACAUUAUUUCAUAGAUGUACGCUAUGCAAGUGUUCUUAUGUUCUGUUUACUUUCUCUUCUGGAGUUCAAUGAAUAAUUGUUUUUACCUUGAUGCUUUUCCACAUGCUCUUGCAGAACUGGGGAAGCCUUCUGAUGGAU